UACGGAGGGGGCAAGCGUUGUUCGGAAUUAUUGGGCGUAAAGCGUAUGUAGGCGGCUAAGCAAGUCAGGCGUGCAAGCCCGUGGCUCAACCACGGAAUUGCGUUUGAAACUGCUUAGCUUGAGUACAGGAGAGGAAAGCGGAAUUCCCAGUGUAGCGGUGAAAUGCAUUGAUAUUGGGAAGAACACCAGUGGCGAAGGCGCUCUGCUGGGCCAUCACUGACGCUCAUGGACGAAAGCCAGGGGAGCGAAAGGG
rnacentral:rRNA from 1 species